rnacentral:tRNA from 1 species
AGGGUUAUAGUCAACAAUGAUAUGUGAUUUGCACUCUCAAGGUGUUCGUUCGAACUAACCUUA